UGAUAAGACUGCAUUUCAUCGCUUAAGGGCCCACUUCACGGUAGACAACAUUGUUUUCUAGGGAAAAAAAAAGGGGCCGUAAAACAAAGCUCAGCUAUAUGAAUAUCUAAACUUAAUUAAAAGAACAAGAUGAAGACAUGAUUAAUUAGUAAAAAAUGAAUCCCCUUGAAAAUGUCCACCAAAAUGAAUAAUAGAAGGGCUAAAGAAGUUGAUCCACUCAAUAUCAUAAGAGCAACCACUCCCACAACAAAACUUGGCCUACUAUGCAUCAGCAAAUUUUGUAGCAACCCUACCGCUUCGAAUACAUCUGAAUCAUAAUUCAAGUACCAUUUCUUCUCCCACUCCAUCCAAUUCGGCGGAGGCAGCGGUAGCGCGUGAUUUCCCUCUUCCCUCUUCAUUUGAUGAAUUCUCAUUCUAAGAACAAACAUGUUUUCAUCAACCAAUCUUCCUUUAUCAUGGCCUGCGUCUCUUUUCACUGCAAAAACUGGGCUGUAAACUCUUACAUACACCGGUUUUCGAGGCAUAAAAUUGCCUGAAAAUGGAGUUGGGAGGUGCAGGGAUGGAAGAGCAGAUGUUCGCAUUAUUUUCAUCAACAUAUUUUCGAACAAAUAUGAGUGAUUUGCACGUAUUUGUAUACGGAUAAAGUGAUAGAACAGAAUUUAUAGAGCAGAAUAGAAAGAAUCAAGAUUGAUCAAGUGGGAUUUGGCGUGCUUUUUGGUGGACGAAUUACGUCCCCUUUAUUCAAGAAACAAAUUCUUUACUAGGAUUAUUUAAAUAUAUUGUCUGUGGUGAAAACCCGGAAUCAUAGUCAGAACCCAACCGACCUUACUUUUUGUUUAAUCCAAAAACAGUGUACCUGCUAAGAAGCAAGAGUUGUUAACCAAUACGUCAUUGAAAUGAUAAACCACCUGGACAUUGCAGUUGGUAAGGGCCGAAAAGUCUCUUACACAAAUGUUAUCAUCCGGGGGGAGAUGAUAGGUGUAUAGGGUAAGGGUUCUGCACCUCACAUGAGGGUGGGAGCGAGGAGAAUGGGUUAAUUUUUUAACAUUAUUUAUUUAUGUGGGCCCCAUACUUUUGUGAUAGAUUGUAAACAUUCUGUAAAAAAAAAAAUUCUAUACACCAAUCAUUUUUUAUUAUCCAGACCUGAAAUCAUUUUUGUUGAAAGGGGAACAAUGUUGAUACUAUUUUGUUGAGAAUUCAGCCAAAUAAUUAAAGAACG
rnacentral:lncRNA from 1 species